GGGGAAUUUUGGACAAUGGGCGCAAGCCUGAUCCAGCAAUGCCGCGUGAGUGAAGAAGGCCUCCGGGUUGUAAAGCUCUUUUGUCAGGGAAGAAACGGGCCUUUCUAAUACAGAGGCCUAAUGACGGUACCUGAAGAAUAAGCACCGGCUAACUACGUGCCAGCAGCCGCGGUAAUACGUAGGGUGCAAGCGUUAAUCGGAAUUACUGGGCGUAAAGCGUGCGCAGGCGGUUUUGUAAGUCUGUUGUGAAAUCCCCGGGCUCAACCUGGGAAUGGCAAUGGAGACUGCAAGGCUAGAGUUUGGCAGAGGGGGGUAGAAUUCCACGUGUAGCAGUGAAAUGCGUAGAUAUGUGGAGGAACACCGAUGGCGAAGGCAGCCCCCUGGGUCAAAACUGACGCUCAUGCACGAAAGCGUGGGGAGCAAAC
rnacentral:rRNA from 1 species